rnacentral:tRNA from 1 species
GCGUUUGUGGUCUAGUGGUAGAAUGCUUCGUUGUCAUCGAGCGACCCGGGUUCGAUUCCCGGCAAAUCA